rnacentral:rRNA from 1 species
CGGCUCUUCCUAUCAUUGCGAAGCAGAAUUCGCCAAGUGUUGGAUUGUUCACCCACUAAUAGGGAACGUGAGCUGGGUUUAGACCGUCGUGAGACAGGUUAGUUUUACCCCUACUGAUGAAAUUUAAAUACAGAUUGUUAUAACAGUAAUGCAACUCAGUACGAGAGGAACCGUUGUAUCAAAUCGCUGGUAAUGAGCUUAGUUGAAAAGCUAAUGGCUCAAAGCUAUCGUUUGUUGGAUUAUGGCUGAACGCCUCUAAGCCAGAAUCCUGCCUGAAAAUAACAAUAUUGUUCUUCUGAGUUAAACUUGUUAAUCUAUAUGCAGAAAUGCAGAAUUACAUAUGGUUUGUAGCUGGGAGAGUAGACUAUACUCCUUUAGCGAUGAAACUAUAAUUAUAAUUUGAUAACUUGGAAGAGUUAGAUCCUUUGUAGACGAC